rnacentral:lncRNA from 1 species
UUUUUUUUUUUUUGCUAGAGGGUUGGUUGUGGAGGCGAAAAUGGGAGAGGUGGAAGGUGGGGAAGAAUAAACAUGAGAGGUUCGCACAAGAUUUGGUCUAAGCGAUUGAUUCUGACGCUGAGUCAAAGCAGUGAAUUCCACCAGCACACCAAAAGUUUUACUGCAAACAUGGAUAGUGUUAGUUUGGGUGAAUAGUAUUUGACAUUAUUUACAUGUGAUUGUAUCUUUUUUGGUUCUUUCAUUGGAGUUUGAAUUAGGAGCAGAAACUUUUUGAGAUUGUACAUCAAACAUGGAUGCGUGUCUCCAAAUAUUUUCAGAAUUUUAAACAUGUUUUGUAUCUUAAAAAAACUUGAUCUCACUGAUCUCACCUAAGGGCGGAUCUUAUACUAGUCUCCGCCUCUAUACCCCUGGUCUUGUAGCUAACGUGGCAAAGUUGCGUGAGUCAUAGGUGAUUUGCUUGGCAACAAAAACAACGCUCCGGCGGGUCGGUUUCUUCACUUGCACAGCCUGUCGAUCCGUCUCGAUCAGUCGUGGUCAUCCAUCCACGAUGUACCUAGGCGUGCCGCGCUGCAUGCCAGCGACGGUUCUAGCCCACGCACGAGCUGCGUGAUAGAUGCGGCGUCGUCACUCUCAACUCAAUGCAUGCUACGUCCUCCUCGAUCGUCACCGUGCACCGACCCUCCUAUCCUACGGCGUCCGCCGAUUCUUCUAGCCUAGAAUCUAGGGUCUGACCAACGCAGCUCUCGGUGUCGACGGUGGACUUAGAUCAGCUGGGCCACGGCUGCGGAAGCACGGAGCCAGAGAGAGUCUUCAACUUGUGCCGUGUCGACGUGUCGUCAGUCGAUGGCGAGGACCAUGUAGCCCGUUGGCCGCGGCCCCCGGCACAUGAGCGUCGCCUCGUGCGGUGCACAGCUGCUCUUCCGUCCAAAUAUUUUUAAACUCGUAUGUUGUUUUCCUUGCUUCUUGCUGUAUUUUUUGUUUGCAGACCUUCCACGUCGCAAGCGAACGCAAGUCUUUCUGCUCAGCAGCAGUCGAAUCUGAACAUAGCGGUUAACUAGCAUAAAUUAUGAUCAUCUUUAUACCAGUAUUAAAACUAGCUAGUACCCAUUUCUGACUAAAAAGUAGGUCAAGAAGUUUGCACUUGUUCCAAACUAAAUGUCUUGGGGUUAUCACAACCAUUUCUUUAUAAUGAUAAACUAAGUGAGAAGAAGGCAAAGCAUAGUACUAGUAUUCACAAGGUUCAUACAUAGGCGGAACUCCGCUCCGCUUACAAUCUGAAAUCCAAAAGGUUUGAUUGAUUUCGGUAUCAACCAAGAGCAAGCACCACAUCACUUCACGCAGCCAGCACACGCGCUAAACCUGUCAAGCCCAUCAAAGAUCAUCAGAGCGUGAUGAUCGUUGCUCACAAAAACAGAGCAAACUAAGCAAUUGAGAGUUGCAAACUAACUCACAGCACACACAACACACGCAUAAUCAAACUAGACUAGAUAGCAUCUACGGUAACUUUAUAUUAGCGGUUCAUUGAGGUCGUCGUGGCUCCAUCUCCAGCAGCU